rnacentral:rRNA from 1 species
UGGGGAAUAUUGCACAAUGGGCGCAAGCCUGAUGCAGCCAUGCCGCGUGUGUGAAGAAGGCCUUCGGGUUGUAAAGCACUUUCAGCGAGGAGGAAGGUGGUGGACUUAAUACGUUCAUCAAUUGACGUUACUCGCAGAAGAAGCACCGGCUAACUCCGUGCCAGCAGCCGCGGUAAUACGGAGGGUGCAAGCGUUAAUCGGAAUUACUGGGCGUAAAGCGCACGCAGGCGGUUUGUUAAGUCAGAUGUGAAAUCCCCGGGCUCAACCUGGGAACUGCAUUUGAAACUGGCAAGCUAGAGUCUCGUAGAGGGGGGUAGAAUUCCAGGUGUAGCGGUGAAAUGCGUAGAGAUCUGGAGGAAUACCGGUGGCGAAGGCGGCCCCCUGGACGAAGACUGACGCUCAGGUGCGAAAGCGUGGGGAGCAAACAGGAUUAGAUACCCCUGGUAGUCCACGCUGUAAACGAUGUCGAUUUUGGAGGUUGUGCCCUUGAGGCGUGGCUUCCGGAGCUAACGCGUUAAAUCGACCGCCUGGGGAGUACGGCCGCAAGGUUAAACU